rnacentral:misc_RNA from 1 species
AGCAGCCGCGGUAAUUCCAGCUCCAAUAGCGUAUAUUAAAGUUGUUGCAGUUAAAAAGCUCGUAGUUGAAUUUCGGGAUUGGCGCAUCGGUCGUGCCUCACGGGGUAUGAACUGGUGCAGUCAAUUUCUCACCUUCUGGAGAACCGCGAUGUCCUUAAUUGGGAUGCCGCGGGGAACCAGGACCUUUACUUUGAAAAAUUAGAGUGUUUAAAGCAGGCAUUUUUGCUUGAAUACAUUAGCAUGGAAUAAUAAAAUAGGACGGCAUGGUUCUAUUUUGUUGGUUUCUAGGACCACCGUAAUGAUUAAUAGGGAUAGUUGGGGGCAUUAGUAUUCAAUUGUCAGAGGUGAAAUUCUUGGAUUUAUUGAAGACUAACUACUGCGAAAGCAUUUGCCAAGGAUGUUUUCAUUAAUCAAGAACGAAAGUUAGGGGAUCGAAGACGAUCAGAUACCGUCGUAGUCUUAACCAUAAACUAUGCCGACUAGGAAUCAGACGAUGUUAAUUUUUAAUGACUCGUUUGGC